rnacentral:rRNA from 1 species
UACGUAGGGGGCAAGCGUUGUCCGGAAUCAUUGGGCGUAAAGAGCGUGUAGGCGGCUCGGUAAGUCCGCUGUGAAAGUCCAGGGCUCAACCCUGGAAAGCCGGUGGAAACUGUCGAGCUCGAGUCCGGAAGAGGCGAGUGGAAUUCCUGGUGUAGCGGUGAAAUGCGUAGAUAUUGGGAGGAACACCAGUGGCGCAAGCGGCUAUCUGGACUGACAUUGACGCUGAGGCACGAAAGCGUGGGGAUCAAACAGG